GACGUAGGGCGCGAGCGUUGUCCGGAUUUAUUGGGCGUAAAGAGCUCGUAGGCGGCUUGUCGCGUCGUUCGUGAAAACUCACAGCUCAACUGUGAGCUUGCGGUCGAUACGGGCAGGCUAGAGUUCGGUAGGGGAGACUGGAAUUCCUGGUGUAGCGGUGAAAUGCGCAGAUAUCGGGAGGAACACCGGUGGCGAAGGCGGUUCUCUGGGCCUGUACUGACGCUGAGGAGCGAAAGCGUGGGGAGCGAACAGG
rnacentral:rRNA from 1 species